rnacentral:rRNA from 1 species
UGCCAGACUCCUACGGGAGGCAGCAGUAGGGAAUAUUGCUCAAUGGGGGAAACCCUGAUGCAGCAACGCCGCGUGAGUGAGGAAGUCUUUCGGUAUGUAAAGCUCUAUCAGCAGGGAAUAGAAAAGAAGGUACCUGAAAAAGAAGCCCCGGCUAACUACGUGCCAGCAGCCGCGGUAAUACGUAGGUGGCAAGCGUUGUCCGGAUUUACUGGGUGUAAAGGGCGUGUAGCCGGGUUGACAAGUCAGAUGUGAAAUCCUGCGGCUUAACCGCAGAACUGCAUUUGAAACUGUUGAUCUUGAGUACUGGAGAGGCAGACGGAAUUCCUAGUGUAGCGGUGAAAUGCGUAGAUAUUAGGAGGAACACCAGUGGCGAAGGCGGUCUGCUGGACAGCAACUGACGGUGAGGCGCGAAAGCGUGGGGAGCAAACAGGAUUAGAUACCCGUGUAA